rnacentral:rRNA from 1 species
GACGAACGCUGGCGGCGUGCUUAACACAUGCAAGUCGAACGGUACUUCCCUGCUUGCUGGGUACUCGCAUGGCGAACGGGUGGGUAACACGUGGGGGAUAUGCCCUGCACAUCGGAAUCAGCCUAGGAAACUGGGUCUAAUAACCGAUUGCUGCCAUUUCUUGUGAGUUUGUUGCACAGUUUUUUGGAUUUAGGGUGAGCUCGCGGCGUAGCUGCUUGUUGGUGGGGUAAUGGCCUACCAAGGCGGCGACGGGUAGCCGGACUGAGAGGGUGGACGGCCACAUUGGGACUGAGAGACGGCACAGACACCGACGGGAGGCAGCAGGGGGGAAUAUUGCACAAGGGGCGCAAGCCUGAUGCAGCGACGCCGCGGGGGGGAUGACGGCCUUCGGGUUGUAAACUCCUGUCGCUAGUGACGAAGCUUUUUGUGACGGUACCUAGAUAAGAAGCACCGGCUAACUACGUG